rnacentral:tRNA from 1 species
ACCUGGGUGGCUCAAUCGGUGAAGCAUCUGACUUUGGCUCAGGUCAUGAUCUUGCAGUCUGUGGGUUCAAGCCCCUCAUCAGGCU